UGCAGCAACGCCGCGUGAGGGAUGACGGCCUUCGGGUUGUAAACCUCUUUUAGUAGGGAAGAAGGGAGCUUCGGUUCUUGACGGUACCUGCAGAAAAAGCACCGGCUAACUACGUGCCAGCAGCCGCGGUAAUACGUAGGGUGCAAGCGUUGUCCGGAAUUAUUGGGCGUAAAGAGCUCGUAGGCGGUUUGUCGCGUCUGCUGUGAAAUCCCGAGGCUCAACCUCGGGCUUGCAGUGGGUACGGGCAGACUAGAGUGCGGUAGGGGAGAUUGGAAUUCCUGGUGUAGCGGUGGAAUGCGCAGAUAUCAGGAGGAACACCGAUGGCGAAGGCAGAUCUCUGGGCCGUAACUGACGCUGAGGAGCGAAAGCAUGGGGAGCGAACAGGAUUAGAUACCCUGGUAGUCCAUGCCGUAAACGUUGGGCGCUAGAUGUAGGGACCUUUCCACGGUUUCUGUGUCGUAGCUAACGCAUUAAGCGCCCCGCCUGGGGAGUACGGCCGCAAGGCUAAAACUCAAAGGAAUUGACGGGGGCCCGCACAAGCGGCGGAGCAUGCGGAUUAAUUCGAUGCAACGCGAAGAACCUUACCAAGGCUUGACAUACACCGGAAACGGCCAGAGAUGGUCGC
rnacentral:rRNA from 1 species